rnacentral:rRNA from 1 species
CAGUAGCCGCGGUAACACGUAGGGUGCAAGCGUUAAUCGGAAUUACUGGGCGUAAAGCGUGCGCAGGCGGUUCGCUAAGACAGAUGUGAAAUCCCCGGGCUUAACCUCGGAACUGCCUUUGAUACUGGGUAUCUUGAGUCCGGGAGAGGUUGGUGGAACUCCGAGUGUAGAGGUGAAAUUCGUAGAUAUUCGGAAGAACACCAGUGGCGAAGGCGACUCUCUGGUCUGUAACUGACGCUGAGGAGCGAAAGCGUGGGGAGCGAACAGGAUUAGAUACCCCAGUAGUCCCUGUCUCUUAUAU